rnacentral:rRNA from 1 species
UUGAACGCUGGCGGCAGGCCUAACACAUGCAAGUCGAGCGGAUGAAGGGAGCUUGCUCCUGGAUUCAGCGGCGGACGGGUGAGUAAUGCCUAGGAAUCUGCCUGGUAGUGGGGGAUAACGUCCGGAAACGGGCGCUAAUACCGCAUACGUCCUGAGGGAGAAAGUGGGGGAUCUUCGGACCUCACGCUAUCAGAUGAGCCUAGGUCGGAUUAGCUAGUUGGUGGGGUAAAGGCCUACCAAGGCGACGAUCCGUAACUGGUCUGAGAGGAUGAUCAGUCACACUGGAACUGAGACACGGUCCAGACUCCUACGGGAGGCAGCAGUGGGGAAUAUUGGACAAUGGGCGAAAGCCUGAUCCAGCCAUGCCGCGUGUGUGAAGAAGGCCUUCGGAUUGUAAAGCACUUUAAGUUGGGAGGAAGGGCAGUAAGUUAAUACCUUGCUGUUUUGACGUUACCAACAGGAUAAGCACCGGCUAACUUCGUG